rnacentral:rRNA from 1 species
GCGCGAGCAGGUGCGAAAGCAGGUCAUAGUGAUCCGGUGGUUCUGAAUGGAAGGGCCAUCGCUCAACGGAUAAAAGGUACUCCGGGGAUAACAGGCUGAUACCGCCCAAGAGUUCAUAUCGACGGCGGUGUUUGGCACCUCGAUGUCGGCUCAUCACAUCCUGGGGCUGAAGUAGGUCCCAAGGGUAUGGCUGUUCGCCAUUUAAAGUGGUACGCGAGCUGGGUUUAGAACGUCGUGAGACAGUUCGGUCCCUAUCUGCCGUGGGCGCUGGAGAACUGAGGGGGGCUGCUCCUAGUACGAGAGGACCGGAGUGGACGCAUCACUGGUGU